rnacentral:lncRNA from 1 species
GCACAACGAAAUGCUUUCACAGCAAAUGCACACCUACUGCAUAUAUAAUGCAUAUCUGACACCCCAUCUCACUUCAGAAUGGCAGCACCUCGAUCAUGAAAUCUAGCAGCUCACCUCGGUUCCCCCUCGUAGAAAUCACCUCGUAUGCUUCGCCCAGAGAGUCAAAAGUAGUACCAAAAGCUGGUGUGAUCACAUUUUCAACUGGGUUCUCUCCACAACACCUGGCUGCCUUCUCGAACGGCACUGAUUUGAUUUGGGCACGGUGUUCUGCUUCCUGCGGCAGCACCAAUCCUAAGCCUGCAAGCACAAACAUACAUUGCAUAAAUUUUCUGAAUGCACAGAGCAAUCAGCCCGCAAACACGGGCACAAGUAGCAUAAAUUUUCAGAAUGCAGAGAGCAAUCAGCCUGCAAACACAGGCACAUAUAGCAUGAAUUUUCUGAAUACAGAGAGCAAUCAGCCUGCAAAAACAGGCACAUAUAGCAUGAAUUUUCUGAAUGCAGAGAUCAAUCAGCCUGCAAGCACAGUAUAGCAUGCUUGUUCUGAAUGCAGAGACCAAUCAGCACUUGCUCUAACUGUAGGAUUUCUUCACUCAUGACGCUUCCUAAAUUGCCCUUCACUAACCUCUUGUUACACCCCGACGCUUAGGGAUUCAGCUUCCCCGUUGAUAGCAUGCUUGUUCUGAAUGCAGAGACCAAGCAGCACUUGCUCUAACUGUAGGAUUUCUUCACUCAUGACGCUUCCUAAAUUGCCCUUCACUAACCUCUUGUUACACCCCGACGCUUAGGGAUUCAGCUUCCUCGUUGAUAGCUCCGAAGUCGGAGGGGAGCUCUCCCUUCUUCAGCCGCCGCCUCCUUCGCCGAGAAGAUUUGUGCUUCGUCGCUGUCCACCGUCCGAUGCUGCGCCACCUCGCCCUCCGCCCUGCUGCGCCACCUCCAAAACCGCCACCGUAGGGCCAUUCACAGCCACAGGGGGCGGCACCAAACUCUUACCUACUUCCUCAAGCAGAGCAGAU